rnacentral:tRNA from 1 species
UCCUCAAUAGCUCAGUCGGUAGAGCAUGCGGCUGUUAACCGCAGGGUCGUUGGUUCAAGUCCAACUUGGGGAGCCA